UACAGAGGUCCCAAGCGUUGUUCGGAUUCACUGGGCGUAAAGGGUGCGCAGGUGGUCGGGUAAGUCUGAUGUGAAAUCCCGCAGCUCAACUGCGGAAUGGCAUUGGAUACUAUUUGGCUAGAGGGUUGGAGGGGGGACUGGAAUUCUCGGUGCAGCAGUGAAAUGCGUAGAUAUCGAGAGGAACACCAGUGGCGAAAGCGAGUCCCUGGACAACUCCUGACGCUGAGGCACGAAAGCUAGGGGAGCAAACAGG
rnacentral:rRNA from 1 species